UAUGCAAUUUCGUCAGUUAUGACAUCACGACCACAUGAAGCAAUUUACAGCAAUACCCAGCAAUACCUGAAAAUUUCAGCAAUGCUAUGCGAAAUAAUUUCUCCAGAUUGUUCCAUUUAUUGCUUCAGAUUGAUCCAUACAUAAGUUGCCUGGUA